GUAGCGGUGAAAUGCAUAGAUAUCACGCAGAACCCCGAUUGCGAAGGCAGCCUGCCAAGCCAUUACUGACGCUGAUGCACGAAAGCGUGGGGAUCAAACAGGAUUAGAUACCCUGGUAGUCCACGCAGUAAACGAUGAUCACUAGCUGUUUGCGAUACACUGUAAGCGGCACAGCGAAAGCGUUAAGUGAUCCACCUGGGGAGUACGCCGGCAACGGUGAAACUCAAAGGAAUUGACGGGGGCCCGCACAAGCGGAGGAACAUGUGGUUUAAUUCGAUGAUACGCGAGGAACCUUACCCGGGCUUAAAUUGCAGAUGAAUUACGGUGAAAGCCGUAAGCCGCAAGGCAUCUGUGAAGGUGCUGCAUGGUUGUCGUCAGCUCGUGCCGUGAGGUGUCGGCUUAAGUGCCAUAACGAGCGCAACCCUUGCCACUAGUUACUAACAGGUAAAGCUGAGGACUCUGGUGGGACUGCCAGCGUAAGCUGCGAGGAAGGCGGGGAUGACGUCAAAUCAGCACGGCCCUUACAUCCGGGGCGACACACGUGUUACAAUGGCGUGGACAAAGGGAAGCCACCUGGCGACAGGGAGCGAAUCCCCAAACCACGUCUCAGUUCGGAUCGGAGUCUGCAACCCGACUCCGUGAAGCUGGAUUCGCUAGUAAUCGCGCAUCAGCCAUGGCGCGGUGAAUACGUUCCCGGGCCUUGUACACACCGCCCGUCAAGCCAUGGGAG
rnacentral:rRNA from 1 species